rnacentral:tRNA from 1 species
AAGGGAGACCUAAUUCCGGUAGGAGACGAAAAAAAAGUAGUCCCUACCAAGAAUCAAUCCCAAAAGGUCGGAGCGAGGCGAAAUUGGCUUUCAAACUAGGUUCUGGGUUCACACAAGACCUGAAUCAGGAACAAGGGCUAUUAGCUCAGGUGGUUAGAGCGCACCCCUGAUAAGGGUGAGGUACCUGGUUCGAGUCCAGGAUGGCCCACCUGUACAGGUGGCAAAAAGAAAGAAAAGAAGCGAGGAAUCAGCACCUUAUCUUACUGACAUAGUAAGAGAGAAUGCUGGCUCUGAGUAAAGAGUCCAGAGGAACCUUGAAAACUGCAUAGAGCUAGGUGAAAAAGCCAAAAAAGAAGACCGCAA